GCACACCCUUCAUAUGUAAAACACGGCAAUGCAAAUAUUACCCCGGAACCUACGCUGUCCUUCCGAUUUCAGAUAAAGCGACAUCUUUAUUCCAGCAGUGGAUGGUUGUGGACUAGAGGUGCAUCCAUCUACGUCGUUUUGUGGCUUGUCGCGCAAUCUGGUCUCGCGAGGACACGGCCCAGGCAUUUAGGCAACCAUGUGUUCAUUUUGCACCUGGACGCUUACUCUCCACAGGGCUUCUCAACGAGACUUCCAUGGUAUGUUCAAAUCGGUUGUUCUUUCUGGAUUUCGAAUUGACCGUGGUUUCAACUCUUACAGCGCUGAUCCAUUUUCGCCUAUGUUUAAGGUCGCUGCCUAAUCGAUCUUCGGGGAUUAGUCUGGUUAGGCUUCAGAGCCCUGAUUACUCAUAUGUGUGAAAUUACUGAAAGUGUGAAUCAUCUCUUUAGGGUUCGAGAAAGACAGAGUUCUGUGGAUUCAUUCUGUUCAGAUCGAAGCAAUCAGUUGUCGUUCUAAAAUUCGAUGUUGUCGAGAAUUUUUUUAGGCUCACAUAAUAGCGGUCUUGAUUUGUAUUUAGAUAAGAACCCCCAUCAAGUUUUAUCUGGCUUCAAUUUGAACCCAAUUCUAGAUUUCUCUGGGCUGAUUCUAUCUGUGUCUGGGUUCGAGGUGACCUUUCUCGCAAACCAUCAUCCGUUGACGGCGAGUCUUCCAAUGGUCGUGCAAAGAGAUUUUUAUUCCUUGUUUGUACUUCGGAGCUACGUUCUUCUUCAAAAGUGGAUUGUCUUUAUUACAGGAUUUUAAUUUCAAUGUCAGCUAUGACAGAGGACCAUCCACAGUGAUCAAUACCUAGCGAAGCACAUCCGUUAGCAGCUUCCACCUUCAAUGCUGACCAAAGUAAUUCCAAAUCGCCCCGAUCAAGCUUCUCAGCAGCUUUUGUGAAGCUGGUGAUGCAAGAAUUGACGUUUCCUUUUAGAUACAGCCGCUCAUGAAUGCUUGUGACACAUUGUUGGUUGCACUACUUCCCUACAAACUGGUAGAAGGCGCUGUGUAAAGUAUUAGUUUCUGGUGCAUUCUGGAAGCUGCGCUCCUGGUCUUGGUGGCGUGACAUCGCAGGAGACUGUAGAAGAUAUCCAAAUGUAAUGUACAAACGGUAUGUGAAGUUCUGGAGAAGGAGGGUGAUGCCACGGUAAUACCAUAUUGGAAAAAGAGAAAUAUUGGGGAAAACAACUGUGCCAGAAUUUCAUGCUUAGAUUAUGCUGGCGGACUGCACCCCAACUUGCAUGUAAGCUAUAACAUGUUCAUCUCUUUACAGACAAAUUGGUACAGACAACACUUCUCUUGAGUCCAUGUCACUAGAUCAACUUCGAUGUGCACUUCCAGUAUUAGCAGCUGGUAUUAUUGUCCUCUAUUGGGUUGUUAGAGCAAUGUUCUGACCAAUUCAAAGAGGUAUGUUGGUGGCAUUAUUUAUAUUAAACUUUGUCCUUGAACUCUUGUUUCUUGAA